AUUGAACGCUGGCGGCAGGCCUAACACAUGCAAGUCGAGCGGAUGAAGGGAGCUUGCUCCUGGAUUCAGCGGCGGACGGGUGAGUAAUGCCUAGGAAUCUGCCUGGUAGUGGGGGAUAACGUCCGGAAACGGGCGCUAAUACCGCAUACGUCCUGAGGGAGAAAGUGGGGGAUCUUCGGACCUCACGCUAUCAGAUGAGCCUAGGUCGGAUUAGCUAGUUGGUGGGGUAAAGGCCUACCAAGGCGACGAUCCGUAACUGGUCUGAGAGGAUGAUCAGUCACACUGGAACUGAGACACGGUCAAGACGCCUACAGGAGGCAGCAGUGGGGAAUAUUGGACAAUGGGCGAAAGCCUGAUCCAGCCAUGCCGCGUGUGUGAAGAAGGUCUUCGGAUUGUAAAGCACUUUAAGUUGGGAGGAAGGGCAGUAAGUUAAUACCUUGCUGUUUUGACGUUACCAACAGAAUAAGCACCGGCUAACUUCGUG
rnacentral:rRNA from 1 species